rnacentral:lncRNA from 1 species
CACCCGGCACAGCCAGAAGAGGACUGGCCACCCCUCAUAGCCUGGUUCCUCUCUAGGUUUCUUCCUAGGUUUUGGCCUUUCUAGGGAGUUUUUCCUAGCCACCAUGCUUCUACACCUGCAUUGCUUGCUGUUUGGAGUUUUAGACUGGGUUUCUGUACAGCACUUUGAGAUAUCAGCUGAUGUAAGAAGGGCUAUAUAAAUACAUUUGAUUUGAUUUUGAUUUGAUCUUCACAGUGACCUGCUCAAAAGGUUCCAGGACUCUGCACACCUCCUCCACUACCUCCCAUUCCUCUUGGGUCAGAGCAUCAACAGGUGCAUUGACAAUGGCCAGGGUAGAGAUGAUGUCAUCCUUUGGCUCAAGAAACCGCUUCAACAUAUAAAAUGUUGAAUUCCACCUUGUAGUGCAGUCUUGUUUAGGCCUCAGCUCAGGCAUCCCCAUCUGGCGUUGUGUAGACUUUAGUUUUUUCAGCACCUACUGUGCUCCUGUGGAAAUAUUCCACAGCUACUUUCACUUUCACUCAUCACCUUCAGAGCAUCUCUGGGCAAGACAUGGAUGAUGGGUCCAUUUGAACAUUUUCAUGGCUUUGGCUAUGUAAGCUGCAUUGUCGCUAACACAACAGACCACUUUUCCAUCUACUUGCCAUUCUCUGGCCACUCUCAACAGUUCCUCUGCCAAGUUCUCUGAGGUGUGUCUGUCGCUGAACUCAAAGCAGUCCAGAAGACAGCUAGACAUCGAAAACAUCUUCAAUGAAGUGACAUGUAACCGACAUGUAAGAAGUGGUUACCCUUGAUGUCCAGCAGUCAGUGGUAAGGCAAACUGCAGUAGCUUUUUGGACUCUUUCCCGCAGUGAAGCCUGUCUGUUCUCGUACAGUUGUGGAAUAAGUGAUUUUGAAAGGCCUCAGCCCUCCCUCACCCAUCUUUGGUUCAUUGGUUGACCCUGCGUGUCUGAUUGACAAGAACAAAAGCUGAGGCUGUUAGUCUGAGCAGACAGUCAGAACGAAUGUGUGUGCGCUUAAGCGUUUAGGCCUAUAUUAUUUUAUUUCAAUUUUUUUCGUUCUUUGAAUUAGUUAAUUGUAUUCAUUUAAAUCUUUUGAUUAUUCAUAUCUUAAUUGUUUUAUAUUUUUAUAAAUAGAUUCGGCUCUUCUGAUAUGUAAGCCGGCUCCCAACGUUCACAUACAAGAGCUGAGUCGUUCGCGAACGACCCAUCACUAGUCGACUACAUAGGAGAUAGGGUCACUGCAAGGGUAUCAGGUCACUGCAUUGAUCAGUGAAGGUGAAAUAGGCUAAGUGACAUUUAUUUCACACUUAAUCAUGAUGAGUGAACAAAAAUGAAAUUAACAGACAUCCUAUGUCUAUGUUCACUAUAGCAUGGAAGUCUUCCUUUUGAUACAGCUGUCAUCAAAAUGACUCGUAUGCUGUCUCAAGAGGAGUGCUCACUACCAGGUCUAGGGUGUGUCCUUACUCACAAAUGGCACCCUAUUCCCGAUAUAGUGCACUACUUUUGACCAGGGCCCAUAGUGUGAAGUGUAAAGGGAAUAUGGUGCCAUUUGAGACACUGUCUAGGGCUGGGUGUGUGCUCUCCUUCAUGACCACUUAUAACUAUCAGACCAGGACAGGUCUCCAUUAUUAUUCCAUUCCAUUAUAACUAUCAGACCAGGACAGGUCUCCAUUAUUAUUCCAUUACAUUAUAACUACCAGACCAGGACAGGUCUCUAUUAUUAUUCCAUUAUAGUAUAACUACCAGACCAGGACAGGUCUCUAUUAUUAUUCCAUUACAUUAUAACUACCAGACCAGGACAGGUCUCCAUUAUUAUUCCAUUACAUUAUAACUACCAGACCAGGUCUCCAUUAUUAUUCCUUUACACCCAUAUAUAAACUCAGCAAAAAAAGAAAUGUCCUCUCACUGUCAACUGCGUUUAUUUUCAGCAAACUUAACAUGUAAAUAUUUGUGUGAACAUAACAAAUUCAACAACUGAGACAUAAACUAAACAAGUUCCACAGACAUGUGACUAACAGAAAUGGAAUAAUGUGUCUCUGAACAAAGGGGGGUUCAAAAUUAACAGUCAAAAGUUACAGUCAGUAUCUGGUGUGGCCACCAGCUGCAUUAAGUUCUGCAGUGCAUCUUCUCCUCAUGGACUGUAUCAGAUUUGCCAGUUUUUGCUGUGAGAUGUUAACCCACUCUUCCACCAAGGCACCUGCAAGUUCCCGGACAUUUCUGGGGGGAAUGGCCCUAGCCCUCACCCUCUGAUCCAACAGGUCCCAGACGUGCUCAAUGGGAUUGAGAUCCGGGCUCUUUGCUGGCCAUGGCAGAACACUGACAUUCCUGUCUUGCAGGAAAUCACGCACAGAACGAGCAGUAUGGCUGGUGGCAUUGUCAUGCUGGAGGGUCAUGUCAGGAUGAGCCUACAGGAAGGGUACCACAUGAGGGAGGAGGAUGUCUUCCCUGUAACGCACAGCGUUGAGAUUGCCUGCAAUGACAACAAGUUCAGUCCGAUGAUGCUGUGACACACCGCCCCAGACCAUGACGGACCCUCCACCUCCAAAUCGAUCCCGCUCCAGAGUACAGGCUUCGGUGUAACGCUCAUUCCUUCAACGAUAAAUGCAAAUCCGACCAUCACCCCUGGUGAGACUAAACCGUGACUCGUCAGUGAAGAGCACUUUUUGCCAGUCCUGUCUGGUCCAGCAACGGUGGGUUUGUGCCCAUAGGCGACGUUGUUGACGGAGAUGUCUGGUGAGGACCUGCCUUACAACAGGCCUACAAGCCCUCAGUCCAGCCUCUCUCAGCCUAUUGAGGACAGUCUGAGCACUGGUGGAGGGAUUGUGCGUUCCUGGUGUAACUCAGGCAGUUGUUGUUGCCAUCCUGUACCUGUCCCGCAGGUCUGAUGUUCGGAUGUACCGAUCCUGUGCAGGUGUUGUUACACGUGGUCUGCCACUGCGAGGACGAUCAGCUGUCCGUCCUGUCUCCCUGUAGCGCUGUCUUAGGCGUCUCACAGUACGGACAUUGCAAUUUAUUGCCCUGGCCACAUCUGCAGUCCUCAUGCCUCCUUGCAGCAUGCCUAAGGCACGUUCACGCAGAUGAGCAGGGACCCUGGGCAUUUUCUUUUGGUGUUUUUCAGAGUAAGUAGAAAGGCCUCUUUAGUGUCCUAAGUUUUCAUAACUGUGACCUUAAUUGCCUACCAUCUGUAAGCUGUUAGUGUCUUAACGACCGUUCCACAGGUGCAUGUACAUAAAUUAUUUAUGGUUCAUUGAACAGGCAUAGGAAACAGUGUUUUAACUCUUUACAACAAAGAUCUAUGAAGUUAUUUGGAUUUUUACGAAUAAUCUUUGAAAGACAGGGUCCUGAAAAAGGGACGUUUUUUUUUUUGAUGAGUUUAUCCCUCCUGAGAUGUGUGCAAACCUGGUGGCCAACUACAAGAAACGUCUGACCUCUGUGAUUGCCAACAAGGGUUUUGCCACCAAGUACUAAGUCAUGUUUUGCAGAGGGGUCAAAUACUUAUUUCCCUCAUUAAAAUGCAAAUCAUUUUAUAACAUUUUUGACAUGCGUUUUCUGGAUUUUUGUUCUUAUUCUGUCUCUCACUGUUCAAAUAAACCUACCAUUAAAAUUAUAGACUGA